rnacentral:rRNA from 1 species
CCUACGGGAGGCAGCAGUGAGGAAUAUUGGUCAAUGGACGAGAGUCUGAACCAGCCAAGUAGCGUGAAGGAUGACUGCCCUAUGGGUUGUAAACUUCUUUUAUAUGGGAAUAAAAUGUUCCACGUGUGGGAUUUUGUAUGUACCAUAUGAAUAAGGAUCGGCUAACUCCGUGCCAGCAGCCGCGGUAAUACGGAGGAUCCGAGCGGUAUCCGGAUUUAUUGGGUUUAAAGGGAGCGUAGGUGGAUGGUUAAGUCAGUUGUGAAAGUUUGCGGCUUAAACGUAAAAUUGCAGUUGAAACUGGCAGUCUUGAGUACAGUAGAGGUGGGCGGAAUUCGUGGUGUAGCGGUGAAAUGCUUAGAUAUCACGAAGAACUCCGAUUGCGAAGGCAGUUCACUGGACUGCAACUGACACUGAGGCUCGAAAGUGUGGGUAUCAAACAGGAUUAGAUACCCCAGUAGUC